ensembl:lncRNA
AUGAAUAGUCACUCAGAGCACCGAGGCCUUGAAGCGGACAGGUCUCAACACCCGCCUCUAGCCCCCAGCCUGGUCACCGGGGCCCAGACUCCCCCUCCCGGGGCUCCACCCAGGGCCGCUGUGGAAGGCAUGCCCCCUCCCUGGAGGAGCCGCCCCCAAACUCAUGGCAGCUGCAGCCCGAGCAGCCUCAAGCGCCAAAACAAAACCUGUCUGAGAGAGGUGGCUUCCGGCAUCCUUCCCUCCCCUCGAGGACACAGCUCGACCUCACACCUGACCUCCCCACCUGCGCCCACCCCCUGGGGACCCCCGGAGCCUCCAGGCGGCCCCCCGGGUCACAGAUGGAAUGGGGUCCCGGACCACUUCUGCUGGCUCCCACGGCACCCGGCCCAGGAGAGCAGCUUUCCCGAUGCGCAGAUGGAGCUCUUGGGCCCAGGCCGAGAGGAGGUGGUGUUGGGCAGGGGACACCCUGAGUGUUAAGUCCCCACCGGGAAGGCAGGAGGCCAGGACACAGUGGCCGUGGGGGCCCCCGUGGCCGUGGGGGCCCUGGACACGGGCGAGUGCCUCAGGCCUGCCCUGCGCAGCAGGGGCUNNNCAGGCUGGCUGGCCCCAGGCACCCUGCCCCCAGACAGGGUCAUGGACGCUGACGAGGCUGUGGCCUCAGGCUGGCUGACCUGAGGGGCCGUGGCCCGGGCUCUGCGCCUCAGUCUCCCCGCAGGACAGCGGGGUGCUUGGGACUGAUCCCCAGAGCUCACCCGCGCGUCCUCCCCUGCCCGCAAGCUUGGCUCAGUGAUGGUUCUGGAACGGCGGUCAGCCUGCUCUCUGCGUGGCCUCUGGGGACCCCGGGGGGGCUCAGGCCCCCGAUUUCUGGACAGCGUUCGGUCCUAGUCUAGACCCUCCGCCUCUGCCACCUGUUCCGGGCGCUGUGGAGCGGACAGGCCUUGUGCUACGGCUGCUCUCCCCUGAGCUGCGUGUCUCUGGGAGGAGGAAGGGCUCCUCAAAGACCCUGGGCCAGGGGGUUCCCCGACGAGACCCUCAGCCCGGGUGACCCUGCGCGAUCCUGGGUGACCCUUGGGCCCAGAUUCUGAAGAGGGGACGAGACAGGUACUGUCACAAGAGGCCGGAACCAGACCGGGCGACACCCUAGGACACAGGAAAAGGUGUCUGGAAGAUGAGUGGCCCAGCACUGGCAUUGGCUACCCACACUGACCGCCUGGAGUCUCCCCCCCGGGACCCCUGAACACUCCUCUCCUGGAAACAGAGAGGCCCACGGCCUCCUCCCCACGGCGACCCGUGGCUCACCCCGCGUCUCGCCCCUGCCCACGCUGCCCACAGCUCCUUGCCGCCCGGAGCACUCAUACACCCAGCCCCGCCCCCGGCCGGCNNNNNNNNNNNNNNNNNNNCUGACCCUCUCACCCCAGACCGGGCGCCUGGGCACCGCUGCCAGCGUCCCCGACGGUCACGGCUCAGGGGCUGCCUUCUGGGUGAGAUACGCACCCUACUCCUGCUGGAAGGGACACACCUGCGCUGCUCGGCCUUCAGGCGUCACACCCCCGACACACGUGCGCGCACACACACACACACGGGCCCCGGGACCAGGCCUCAGCUCCGGCCGGGGCAGUGCAUCCUCGUGGCUCCCGGAGGGCCGCCCCGACCCGUCUGUCCCCAAGAGGCUUGGGAGGUGUGUGUGGGAACAAGGGCGCGGGUCCGUCUGAAUCCUACAGGUCUACGUGAAGGCAUUAGAAAUAAAUACUUAUAAAUAGAACACAGUCUUAUCGUUAAUGUCUGAGGGGACUGUCUCAACGUCACUAACUAGUGUAUGUUAAUUAUAAGUCUGUCUAUGCUUAAAAAAAUAUGAGAACGGCAGCGACGCCCCGUGACUCCUGCCCCCCGUCUUUCCGGCACCUCCCAGCUCCUCCCACCCGGGGCGCCUCCUGCAGAAAGAAAGGACGACACGCGUGGCCUCUGCUGGGACAGGUCGUGUGGCAGGUCCCAGGCAGGGCGGGCGUCCCAGGAGGCAGGCGGGGCUGGGCGGCACUGACAGAUGGUGGCGAUGACGGGAGGCGGGGCCGGGCCUGCGGGUGGCUGGGCUCAGACCCGCAUCUGGGCAGACCUCCUUCUGGACAGCUUGGACCUGCGGGCCGAGAGGAGCAGCGGUCAGGGGCCCAUGGGCGCCCGCAGGCUGGCGUGAGGGGCAUCGCAGGCACGCCCCUGCCUCCCCAACCGCCCGGGAGACGUACCCUCUGACUCCUGCCCCUGGGACUCGGUGGGAGCAGCCCCCCCGCCCCCACAGCCUCCUUUGAAACGUCGCCCGCCAGGGGCAAGGCUCGCCCACCCGGAGCCUGGUGG